rnacentral:rRNA from 1 species
AUUGAACGCUGGCGGCAGGCCUAACACAUGCAAGUCGAGCGGAUGAAGGGAGCUUGCUCCUGGAUUCAGCGGCGGACGGGUGAGUAAUGCCUAUGAAUCUGCCUGGUAGUGGGGGAUAACGUCCGGAAACGGGCGCUAAUACCGCAUACGUCCUGUGGGAGAAAGUGGGGGAUCUUCGGACUUCACGCUAUCAGAUGAGCCUAGGGCGGAUUAGCUAGUUGGUGGGGUAAAGGCCUACCAAGGCGGCGAUCGGUAACUGGUCUGAGAGGAUGAUCAGUCACUCUGGGACUGAGAGACGGCCCAGAGACUUACGGGAGGCACAGAUGGGGAAUAUUGGAAAAUGGGCGGAAGACUGCUCCAGGCAUGGAGCGUGUAUGCAGAAGGUCUUCGGACUGUAAAGCGCUCUAAGUUGUGAGAACGGCCAGUAGCUUAAUACCAUGCUGUUUUGACGGUACCAACAGAAUAAGCACCGGCUAACUUCGUG